ACUGCCUACCACCCCUCCGACCUGGAAACAUGUUCCAUCUCCUUCUCCUGCUGGGCAGUAUCCUAUUCAACCAGGGGUUGUGAGUCAGCUGGGGAUGCACAAGAAGUUGGGAAGAGACAGAUGUCUUCAGUAUCUAAAAAGAAAAUACAAAAUUAGAUCAGUAAUGCCAUAGCACUGCUUAUUGCCGGUGGAGCAGGUGAUGCAGAAGGAGGAGAAAAUACAAGUUGACUUCUCAUAGCUCCUGACUGACCCAGGAGAUGCAAAAGCUCAUGAAUUACCACGACAGCUGGUUUGAAAGAAGCCUGUAGCCAUGUUGUGAAAGCAAAUAACUCUUUCAGGUAGCAAAGCUAAAACAAAUAAAUAGUCUCCUCUUAGGUCGCUUUCUGCCCCAGAGAAGCACUGUUUUGCUGCACGUCACCAGCACAGCUUGUCAUUGGCAUAAACAUUUUUUGCCCCUCUAGUUGUGCAGCACCUACAGCAAAUAUUUCUGAUUCAUGGUUAAAGAUUUGAGUCAGUAUGCAGUACAAAUCACAGAAUCCCAGCCUGGUUUGUGUUGGAAGGGACCUUAAAGCUCAUCCAGCUCCAACCCCUGCCACGGGCAGGGACCUCUUCCACUAGAGCAGCUUGCUCCAAGCCCCUGUGUCCAACCUGGCCUUGAGCACUGCCAGGGAUGGGGAGCCACAGCUUCUCUGGGCACCCUGUGCCAGCGCCUCAGCACCCUCACAGGGAAGAGCUUCUGCCUAAGAGCUCAUCUCAGUCUCCCCUCUGGCAGGUUAAAGCCAUUCCCCUUGGCCUGUCCCUACAUCCCUUGUCCCA